rnacentral:lncRNA from 1 species
GAGUGCCGCCGCAGAGGCGAGCCCGCUCCAGACAGUGGCGGUUGCGUGAGCGCCCCUCCCCCCACCGGGCUUUGGAGCGCGGGCUCCCACGCCGGCCCGGAGAGCUGCCCGACUGAGCAUGCGCGUCGCGCUGCCGAGCCUCCUGAGAGCCCGCGGGCUGGCGCCGACCUUUCUUGCCGGCUCCGGCGUGAGAGGCCCGUCGGUGUGAGAGGCUCAGCGUGUGUCGCCCAGUGUCAGUGCCUUUGGGGCGGGGGACAGCGUCCCCACUUUCCUUCUACUGAAUCCUCGGGCCCGUGGGCAGAACCCAUUUCUUUUGUUUGUGGGCCUGGGUACCUUGCAGGGCCUUUCUCUAUUCCCCACCGGCUCAGGACCCAUCCAGCUUGUACUUGCUGACUCGGGAGGGAACUCGGGACGUAGGGCCAUGCGGGGAGAGGACCUGGCCUGAUCUGGGAGGCAAGGGGCGGGGAGGUGUUAGAGAGUUCAUCCUUCCCCACUCUCUCCGGGCUCGCGCUGCCUCGGGGAUUCCCGUGGCGUCCUGGGAGUUCCCGUGCCACCUUCCUUCCAGCUGGCAGCUCUGCAGACACCUCCACCCGUGAACAUCACGCUCAAGUUCUGGAGACAGGGAGGAGGGCUGGGGGAUCCAGAGAUCCAGCCUGAAUAGACUUCUGCUCUCUGCUCAGCUAAGCACCCAACACUGAGAAAUGAACAGGUUCCUUCUCUCCCAUCACCCCUCAGAUUCCCCAGUGGCCCAGGAAAAAAUAUCUUGGUCUUUGCCAAGGUAGACUCAGCCUUGUCA